GUUUUACCUUGACGAAUUGUAGUUUAAAGAAGUGUUUUCUGUUGAAGUUUUGGUAAAAGUUCUUUGGAAUAGGACAUCAUAGAGGGUGAGAAUCCCGUAUUUGACCAUUAUUUUCAGCUGUGUGAUACACUUUCAAAGAGUCGGAUUGUUUGGGAAUGCAGUCCAAAAUGGGUGGUAAAUUUCAUCUAAAGCUAAAUAUUGGCGAGAGACCGAUAGCGAACAAGUACCGUGAGGGAAAGAUGAAAAGAACUUUGAAAAGAGAGUUAAACAGUACGUGAAAUUGUCAAAAGGGAAGCGUUUGACACCAGUGUUGUUUUCUCGAAAAUCAAUUAAAAAAGUUGGAUUUUGUGUUGUAUUGACCUUAACGGCUUUCUGCACUCUUUUCCUGCUUUUUUU
rnacentral:rRNA from 1 species